rnacentral:misc_RNA from 1 species
UUUUCAAGAAUAAGAAUACGAAUUUAAUAAAAUACUCUAAAUUAAUCGAAUGUGACAUAUCAUUACAGAUUUCUAAAAUCACUCUUCGAGUCUUCACAUUCAAUUCAAUUACGCGUUUUGUAUUGUACCAUCCAGUUUUUAACAGGCACGCAGUAGUAACCCUUAAACUGCAUGGAUCCAACGGUCAGGAUCACUUGAUCCUGACAUAUCAUCAUAGAUGACAUCAUUCAUGUUCAUAUACUGUAUCUCGCAGGCCAUGGAAGGCUGGUCCCACCCGCUCUUCCAUUUUCCCGCCGUUGAAAUUUGGAUCGCAAUCAUCCAAUUGUACGUGCAAUCGUCAAGCCUUACAUUAGCAUUGACCGUACACGUGGCACCACCUAAGAUAAUGACCAUUCAUUCUGCUUUUUGCGUCCCACUUCGUAAGUUGCUUGAGACUUGAGAGAGCGGAAGAUAUGUACCUAUCCACUUGUCAUUUUCGAUGUCGCUAUCCCCAGCAAUUGCACCAUAUGAGAACAAGUCUCCAUCGUUGGAUCGCUCUUUCGUACACUGUGAUCAGAGACUUUCUCCUCUCUUAUUUGAAGAGUUUCUACUUGGAAGUCUUUCGGUUUCACUUAGCUUCUCCUCCAAUCAUUGCAUCCCACGCCUCAUUCACUCACUCGUUCUCUCCAAUUAGCCAAUUGCAGGUUAGCAAAGCUCAUAUUGCAUUGCCCCGGAGGAUUUGAGGUUUUGCUUAGCUGCUUCUUUCUUUGGCGAUCUUGCUCUCUCUAAUUUUUGUACUGCAUGGAAGGAAGAACUCAUUUUGGAACCAUCUUUUAUCUUAUCUGGAUU